AUUGAACGCUGGCGGCAUGCCUUACACAUGCAAGUCGAACGGCAGCACGGACUUCGGUCUGGUGGCGAGUGGCGAACGGGUGAGUAAUGUAUCGGAACGUACCUUUCAGUGGGGGAUAACGUAGCGAAAGUUACGCUAAUACCGCAUAUUCUGUGAGCAGGAAAGCAGGGGAUCGCAAGACCUUGCGCUGAUUGAGCGGCCGAUAUCAGAUUAGCUAGUUGGUGAGGUAAAGGCUCACCAAGGCGACGAUCUGUAGCGGGUCUGAGAGGAUGAUCCGCCACACUGGAACUGAGACACGGUCCAGACUCCUACGGGAGGCAGCAGUGGGGAAUUUUGGGACAAUGGGGGCAACCCUGAUCCAGCUAUGCCGCGUGAGUGAAGAAGGCC
rnacentral:rRNA from 1 species